rnacentral:rRNA from 1 species
GAUGAACGCUGACGGCGUGCCUAAUACAUGCAAGUCGAGCGAACGGACGAGAAGCUUGCUUCUCUGAUGUUAGCGGCGGACGGGUGAGUAACACGUGGAUAACCUACCUAUAAGACUGGGAUAACUUCGGGAAACCGGAGCUAAUACCGGAUAAUAUUUUGAACCGCAUGGUUCAAAAGUGAAAGACGGUCUUGCUGUCACUUAUAGAUGGAUCCGCGCUGCAUUAGCUAGUUGGUAAGGUAACGGCUUACCAAGGCAACGAUGCAUAGCCGACCUGAGAGGAUGAUCAGCCACACUGGAACUGAGACACGGUCCAGACUCCUACGGGAGGCAGCAGUAGGGAAUCUUCCGCAAAGGGCGAAAGCCUGACGGAGCAACGCCGCGUGAGUGAUGAAGGUCUUCGGAUCGUAAAACUCUGUUAUUAGGGAAGAACAUAUGUGUAAGUAACUGUGCACAUCUUGACGGUACCUAAUCAGAAAGCCACGGCUAACUACGUG